rnacentral:rRNA from 1 species
UACGUAGGGUGCGAGCGUUGCCCGGAUUUAUUGGGCGUAAAGAGCUCGUAGGCGGCUUGGCAAGUCGGGUGUGAAACCUCCAGGCUCAACCUGGAGACGCCACUCGAUACUGCCAUGGCUAGAGUCCGGUAGGGGACCACGGAAUUCCUGGUGUAGCGGUGAAAUGCGCAGAUAUCAGGAGGAGCACCGGUGGCGAAGGCGGUGGUCUGGGCCGGCACUGACGCUGAGGAGCGAAAGCGUGGGUAGCAAACAGG